UUCAGUCCUCAUGUGCAUAAAUCAGCAAUCGCAAUUGCUGACUUUUCAAUCAUUUCAUGUUGUUUUUUUUUAAAGAUAAAGCUCAGAAAUUCUCCAAAUUGCAAAUAAAUUUAUAGCAAAUCAAAUAUAAUAAGUUGAACAAAUUCAUCAAAACCAAUUAACUUGUAGUCAAGUCAACCUUCAGUUUGCUAAUUAAGUGUGAAGUGAGAACACGCAGUUGUUCAAUUCGUUCAAAGCUUCAUCAUUUUCCCUUUACUAGUCUUGCACUAUAAAAUACCAUAUGUUAAUACUUUGUUCAUUCAUCAAAAAAUUAAUUUAAUUUCUAGCUUUCUUCUCAUCACACUAUCAUGAAGACCAUAAGUUCAACAUCUAUUUUCGCGAUUAUCCUUGUUUUCAUUGGGUUAAUCCUCUCUCCUGGAAUACAACAAGGUGUCGUUGCUCGUUCUAACGUGUAUAGAGAAGUACUUGUAAGGAGAUCAAUAUGUCCUGCUUGUGUGUGUUGCCAACCUCCACCACCAGGAUCUUGUUGCAGCUGCUGCGCUUCUCCUAUCAAUACUCAGUCCCACAAUGGUUCGCCUUAACCGACAUGCAGAGUCGGAUUCAGAAUUUAUAAUCCAGAAUAAAUUGUAAUUUUGAAAUUAGUAGUUCACACGUUGAAUAUGCUUUGGAUUAUUAUUUAUCGGAUGCAGUAACAUUCAUGCAAGAUAAUUAUAAACAUAAAUUAAAUACUUCCGUAUGUUUUUUCCCUUCUCAAAA